rnacentral:rRNA from 1 species
ACGCUGGCGGCAGGCCUAACACAUGCAAGUCGAGCGGUAGAGAGAAGCUUGCUUCUCUUGAGAGCGGCGGACGGGUGAGUAAUGCCUAGGAAUCUGCCUGGUAGUGGGGGAUAACGUUCGGAAACGGACGCUAAUACCGCAUACGUCCUACGGGAGAAAGCAGGGGACCUUCGGGCCUUGCGCUAUCAGAUGAGCCUAGGUCGGAUUAGCUAGUUGGUGGGGUAAUGGCUCACCAAGGCGACGAUCCGUAACUGGUCUGAGAGGAUGAUCAGUCACACUGGAACUGAGACACGGUCCAGACUCCUACGGGAGGCAGCAGUGGGGAAUAUUGGACAAUGGGCGAAAGCCUGAUCCAGCCAUGCCGCGUGUGUGAAGAAGGUCCUCGGAUUGUAAAGCACUUUAAGUUGGGAGGAAGGGCAGUAAAUUAAUACUUUGCUGUUUUGACGUUACCGACAGAAUAAGCACCGGCUAACUCUGUGCCAGCAGCCGCGGUAAUACAGAGGGUGCAAGCGUUAAUCGGAGUUACUGGCGUAAAGCGCGCGUAGGUGGUUCGUUAAGUUGGAUGUGAAAUCCCCGGGCUCAACCUGGGAACUGCAUUCAAAACUGACGAGCUAGAGUAUGGUAGAGGGUGGUGGAAUUUCCUGUGUAGCGGUGAAAUGCGUAGAUAUAGGAAGGAACACCAGUGGCGAAGGCGACCACCUGGACUGAUACUGACACUGAGGUGCGAAAGCGUGGGAGCAAAC